AGAAUCAACGCUGGCGGCGUGCCUAACACAUGCAAGUCGCACGAGAAAGGGUAGCAAUACCUGAGUAAAGUGGCGCACGGGUGAGUAACACGUGAAUUAUCUACCUCCGAGUGGGGAAUAACUGAGAGAAAUCUUAGCUAAUACCGCAUAACACUUACGAGUCAAAGCAGCAAUGCGCUUGGAGAGGAGUUCGCGGCCGAUUAGUUAGUUGGCGGGGUAAUGGCCCACCAAGACGAUGAUCGGUAUCCGGCCUGAGAGGGCGCACGGACACACUGGAACUGAAACACGGUCCAGACUCCUACGGGAGGCAGUAGUGGGGAAUUUUGCGCAAUGGGGGAAACCCUGACGCAGCAACGCCGCGUGGAGGAUGAAAUAUCUUGGUAUGUAAACUCCUUUCGAUGGGAAGAUUAUGACGGUACCCAUAGAAGAAGCCCCGGCUAACUUCGCGCCAGCAGCCGC
rnacentral:rRNA from 1 species